rnacentral:rRNA from 1 species
CUGGUACUGAGACACGGACCAGAUCCUACGGGAGGCAGCAUGAGGAAUAUUGGACAAUGGAGGCAACUCUGAUCCAGCCAUGCCGCGUGCAGGAAGACGGCCCUAUGGGUUGUAAACUGCUUUUAUACAGGAAGAAUUGUACCUACGUGUAGGUAUUUGACGGUACUGUACGAAUAAGGAUCGGCUAACUCCGUGCCAGCAAGCCGCGGUAAUUACGGAGGAUCCCAAAGCGUUAUUCCGGAAUCAUUGGGGUUUAAAAGGGUCCGUAGGCGGUCUUUUAAGUCAGAGGUGAAAUCCUGCAGCUCAACUGUAGCAUUGCCUUUGAUACUGAGAGACUUGAGUUAUUGUGAAGUAGUUAGAAUGUGUAGUGUAGCGGUGAAAUGCAUAGAUAUUACACAGAAUACCGAUUGCGAAGGCAGAUUACUAACAAUAUACUGACGCUGAGGGACGAAAGCGUGGGUAGCGAACAGGAUUAGAUACCCUGGUAGUCCACGCCGUAAACGAUGGAUACUAGCUGUUCGACCAACAUUGGUUGGUUGAGUGGCUAAGCGAAAGUGAUAAGUAUCCCACCUGGGGAGUACGCUCGCAAGAGUGAAACUCAAAGGAAUUGACGGGGGCCCGCACAAGCGGUGGAGCAUGUGGUUUAAUUCGAUGAUACGCGAGGAACCUUACCAGGGCUUAAAUGUAAGUUGCAUAGAUCAGAGAUGGUCUUUUCUUCGGACUACUUACAAGGUGCUGCAUGGUUGUCGUCAGCUCGUGCCGUGAGGUGUCAGGUUAAGUCCUAUAACGAGCGCAACCCCUGUCGUUAGUUACCAUCAAGUAAUGUUGGGUACUCUAGCGAGACUGCCGGUGCAAACCGUGAGGAAGGUGGGGAUGACGUCAAAUCAUCACGGCCCUUACGUCCUGGGCUACACACGUGCUACAAUGGCCGGUACAGAGAGCAGCCACUACGCGAGUAGGAGCGAAUCUAUAAAACCGGUCUCAGUUCGGAUCGCAGUCUGCAACUCGACUGCGUGAAGCUGGAAUCGCUAGUAAUCGGAUAUCAGCCAUGAUCCGGUGAAUACGUUCCCGGGCCUUGUACACACCGCCCGUCAAGCCAUGGAAGCUGGGAGUACCUGAAGUCGGUGACCGCAAGGAGCUGCCUAGGGUAAAACUAGUAACUGGGGCUAAGUCGU